GAGGGGGCUGGGUGCAUCUGGGGCAGGAGAAGGGAAGCCCCCCAGGGCCUCUGGGGUGACUCCCUCCUGCUCUCUGUUCCCUCCCAGGAGGAGAUGGCCUACAUCUGGGAGGACCCCGUGCCCCACCACCUCUUCUCUCUCUGCACAGAGGCCAUUGCCUCCUUGAGGGCAAGGAAGCAGGAACAAGGAACAAGAGACCAGCCAGGGGUCCAGGAUUCACCAAAGGCAGAUCCAAAAAUGAACGAGACCUCGCAGCCACAAGUGCUGGGCACACCGCAUUGAGAAAAGAUAGUAUGCAGGUGCCAUGACCUUCACCAUCAAUCGAGCCCCUUUCGGGCACAAUGGCUGAAGCGGAGGUCUCACCUCCUCACCGUCAGAAGAACCUUCACGUGCAGCUUGAAGACCAAACUCCCAAAGUCAAAAAUAUUCAUUGCACUAUCCUUUGGUAAGCCAUAGGGCUCAAGCUGUGUCUGGGCAGGGUCAUCCAUUGGUGGUCCUGCCCCGACACAGAUUGACCAAGGCCCACUGUUUAACCUGGCCGUGCAGGCCUGGCUGGUUGCCGCUUUUUGGAGCCGAGAAGGAAUUUUCCCCUGGGAGGUCUCUGGAUCCCCAGGUUUUUUGCCUUCUCUGCACGGCCUUCCUCUUCAGCUCUGCAAGCACCUUGGCUUGCCGCUGAAGAAGAGUCAACCAGUGGGUCUUUCCCCCUCCCGCCCACCUCCAAAUAAAAUACAAAUCAAUCUCAA